AAUUCAGUGAUCCUAUGCUGCCGAGAAAAGCCUCUAGUGAGUUCAUACACGGCCCGUACCCCAAACCGACACAGGUGAUCAGGUAGAGAAUACCAAGGCGAUCGAGAGAACUGUGGUUAAGGAACUCGGCAAAAUGCCCCCGUAACUUCGGGAGAAGGGGGACCAUGCCCGGUGAACAUCUUCACGGUGGGAGCUGGGUGUGGUCGCAGAGACCAGAGAGAAGCGACUGUUUACUAAAAACACAGGUCCGUGCGAAGACGUAAGUCGAUGUAUACGGACUGACGCCUGCCCGGUGCUGGAAGGUUAAGAGGACCGGUUGGCCGUAAGGCGAAGCUGAGAAUUUAAGCCCCAGUAAACGGCGGUGGUAACUAUAACCAUCCUAAGGUAGCGAAAUUCCUUGUCGGGUAAGUUCCGACCUGCACGAAUGGCGUAACGACUUCUCUGCUGUCUCGACCACAGACUCGGCGAAAUUGCACUACGAGUAAAGAUGCUCGUUACGCGCGGCAGGACGAAAAGACCCCGGGACCUUUACUAUAGCUUGGUAUUGGCGUUCGAUUCGGUUUGUGUAGGAUAGGUGGGAGACUGUGAAGCAUGCACGCCAGUGUGUGUGGAGUCGUUGUUGAAAUACCACUCUGAUCGUAUUGGACGUCUAACCUCGGCCCAUGAUCUGGGUUAGGGACAGUGCCUGGUGGGUAGUUUAACUGGGGCGGUUGCCUCCUAAAGAGUAACGGAGGCGCCCAAAGGUUCCCUCAGCCUGGAUGGCAAUCAGGUGUUGAGUGCAAGUGCACAAGGGAGCUUGACUGUGAGACUGACACGUCGAGCAGGGACGAAAGUCGGGACUAGUGAUCCGGCACCGGCAAGUGGAAGCGGUGUCGCUCAACGGAUAAAAGGUACCCCGGGGAUAACAGGCUGAUCUUCCCCAAGAGUCCAUAUCGACGGGAUGGUUUGGCACCUCGAUGUCGGCUCGUCGCAUCCUGGGGCUGGAGUAGGUCCCAGGGGUUGGGCUGUUCGCCCAUUAAAGCGGCACGCGAGCUGGGUUUAGAACGUCGUGAGACAGUUCGGUCUCUAUCCGCCGCGCGCGUAAGAAACUUGAGGAAGGCUGUCCCUAGUACGGGAGGACCGGGACGGACGAACCUCUGGUGUGCCAGUUGUUCCACCAGGAGCAUGGCUGGUUAGCUACGUUCGGAAGGGAUAACCGCUGAAAGCAUCUAAGCGGGAAGCCUGUUCCAAGAUGAGGUUUCUCACCACCUUGCGUGGUUAAGGCCCCCUACAGACCAUGGGGUUGAUAGGCCGGAACUGGAAGCGCAGCAAUGCGUGGAGGUGACCGGUACUAAUAGGCCGAGGAC
rnacentral:rRNA from 1 species